GAUGAACGCUGGCGGCGUGCCUAAUACAUGCAAGUCGAGCGAACAGAUGAGGAGCUUGCUCCUCUGACGUUAGCGGCGGACGGGUGAGUAACACGUGGAUAACCUACCUAUAAGACUGGGAUAACUUCGGGAAACCGGAGCUAAUACCGGAUAAUAUAUUGAACCGCAUGGUUCAAUAGUGAAAGACGGUUUUGCUGUCACUUAUAGAAGGAUCCGCGCCGCAUUAGCUAGUUGGUAAGGUAACGGCUUACCAAGGCGACGAUGCGUAGCCGACCUGAGAGGGUGAUCGGCCACACUGGAACUGAGACACGGUCCAGACUCCUACGGGAGGCAGCAGUAGGGAAUCUUCCGCAAUGGGCGAAAGCCUGACGGAGCAACGCCGCGUGAGUGAUGAAGGUCUUCGGAUCGUAAAACUCUGUUAUUAGGGAAGAACAAAUGUGUAAGUAACUAUGCACGUCUUGACGGUACCUAAUCAGAAAGCCACGGCUAACUACGUG
rnacentral:rRNA from 1 species